AGUGAACGCUGGCGGUAGGCCUAACACAUGCAAGUCGAACGGCAGCACAGUAAGAGCUUGCUCUUACGGGUGGCGAGUGGCGGACGGGUGAGGACUACAUCGGAAUCUACUUUUUCGUGGGGGAUAUCGUAUGGCUACUUACGAUAAUACCGCAUACGACCUACGGGUGAAAGCAGGGGAUCUUCGGACCUUGCGCGAUUGACUGAGACGGUGUCGGAUUAGCUAGUUGGCGGGGGAAAGGCCCACCAAGGCGACGAUCCGUAGCUGGUCUGAGAGGAUGAGGUGCUACACGGGAAUUGAGACACGGUCCAGACUCCGACGGGAGGCAGCAGUGUGGAAAUUUGGGCAAUGGGCGCAAGCCUGAUCCAGCCAUACCGCGUGGGUGAAGAAGGCCUUCGGUGUGUAAAGCCCUUUUUUGGGGAAAGAAAAGCAGCAGUUUAAUACCCCGCUUUUCUGACGGUACCCAAAGAAUAAGCACCGGCUAACUUCGUG
rnacentral:rRNA from 1 species